rnacentral:rRNA from 1 species
AGCUCCAAUAGCGUAUAUUAAAGUUGUUGCAGUUAAAAAGCUCGUAGUUGAAUUUUAGGCCUGGUUGGACGGUCUGCUCUAGGGUUUGUACUGUCCUGGCUGGGCCUUACCUUCUGGUGAGCUGUCGUGUUGUUUACUCAGUGCGGCAGGGAACCAGGACUUUUACUUUGAAAAAAUUAGAGUGUUUAAAGCAGGCAUUCGCUUGAAUACAUUAGCAUGGAAUAAUAAAAUAGGACUUUGGUUCUAUUUUGUUGGUUUCUAGGACCGAAGUAAUGAUUAAUAGGGAUAGUUGGGGGCAUUAGUAUUUAAUUGUCAGAGGUGAAAUUCUUGGAUUUAUUAAAGACUAACUUCUGCGAAAGCAUUUGCCAAGGAUGUUUUCA